UCUCAUCUUUGGUUAUCAAUAAAAUAAGUGUAACAAUGGUUUUCCCUGAAGCACAUUGCAUGGCCCGUUUGUUUACACCGAAAAUAGCAAAUUACUAUGAAGAGUAUUACAAGUCCAAAGGAGUAAAUUUUGUCAAAGGAACUGUCUUGUCAUCAUUUGAAAUUGACACCGAUGGGAAGGUCACAGCCGUUAUUCUUAAAGAUGGAACUCACCUGCCUGCUGUAUGCUUCUGCUGGAUCCUUUAGCUCGAACAUCUCAGGCUCUGCUGGUUUCGGUGGGAUUAGCUUUUCAUCAGGCGAAUCAGACUCGAGUUGAUUCAGUUGCCUCCGUAGUUCACUAAGAUUAGAGCUGAUUUCUAAACGUAGAACAUAACAUCAUUAUCUUUAAUACCGAGCGUGAAAUGCUGCCAAGUGAGCAUAAUAUGCUGGAGGAACAAUAAAUUAUUAUACUUAAACAAACUGAUACGUUAUUUUCUAACUAACUAACCUAUUUUAAAGCUAGAUAUUAGGAUGAAUUUGAAUUUGAAUAACAAUAAAAUUGCCAGAUGAAAAAAAAAUAAGAAUAAAAAAGAGAUUAUAUAUCAUUAAAAUAUUUAAGAUAUUUAUAUUUAAAAAUAAUAAAACCCUAAAUAAAACCUAAAUAUCUCCCCAUAUAUAGUUCUGUCGAUAUAUGCUUCCUUCUGUCAA